UGUACUCCGAAUGCUCUUAAAUUAUAGUUGAUCAUGGCUCAGAGUGAACGCUGGCGGUAGGCCUAACACAUGCAAGUCGAACGGCAGCACAGAGGAGCUUGCUCCUUGUGGUGGCGAGUGGCGGACGGGUGAGUGAAUACAUCGGAAUCUACUCUUGGUCGUGGGGGAUAACUGUAGGGAAACGUUACGCUAAUACCGCAGUACGACCUACUGGGUGAAAGCAGUGGGAUCUUCGGACCUUGCGCGAUUGAAUGAGCCGAUGUCGGGAUUAGCUAGGUUUGGCGGGGUAAAGGGCCCACCNAAGGACGACGU
rnacentral:rRNA from 1 species